rnacentral:rRNA from 1 species
GAUGAACGCUGGCGGCGUGCCUAAUACAUGCAAGUCGAGCGAACAGACGAGGAGCUUGCUCCUCUGACGUUAGCGGCGGACGGGUGAGUAACACGUGGAUAACCUACCUAUAGGACUGGGAUAACUUCGGGAAACCGGAGCUAAUACCGGAUAAUAUAUUGAACCGCAUGAUUCAAUAGUGAAAGACGGUUUUGCUGUCACUUAUAGAUGGAUCCGCGCCGCAUUAGCUAGUUGGUAAGGUAACGGCUUACCAAGGCAACGAUGCGUAGCCGACCUGAGAGGGUGAUCGGCCACACUGGAACUGAGACACGGUCCAGACUCCUACGGGAGGCAGCAGUAGGGAAUCUUCCGCAAUGGGCGAAAGCUUGACGGAGCAACGCCGCGUGAGUGAUGAAGGUCUUCGGAUCGUAAAACUCUGUUAUUAGGGAAGAACAAAUGUGUAAGUAACUAUGCACGUCUUGACGGUACCUAAUCAGAAAGCCACGGCUAACUACGUG